rnacentral:rRNA from 1 species
AACGAACGCUGGCGGCAGGCCUAACACAUGCAAGUCGAGCGAGGUAGCAAUACCUAGCGGCGGACGGGUGAGUAACGCGUGGGAACGUACCCUUUGCUUCGGAAUAGCCUCGGGAAACUGGGAGUAAUACCGAAUGUGCCCUUUGGGGGAAAGAUUUAUCGGCAAAGGAUCGGCCCGCGUUGGAUUAGGUAGUUGGUGGGGUAAUGGCCUACCAAGCCGACGAUCCAUAGCUGGUUUGAGAGGAUGAUCAGCCACACUGGGACUGAGACACGGCCCAGACUCCUACGGGAGGCAGCAGUGGGGAAUCUUAGACAAUGGGCGCAAGCCUGAUCUAGCCAUGCCGCGUGAUCGAUGAAGGCCUUAGGGUUGUAAAGAUCUUUCGUGGGGGAAGAUAAUGACUGUACCCCAAGAAGAAGCCCCGGCUAACUCCGUGCCAGCCGCCGCAGUAACAC